rnacentral:rRNA from 1 species
GACGAAGGUGGCAACCGUUGUUCGGAAUUACUGGGCAUAAAGCGCACGUAGGCGGGUGAGUAAGUCGGGUGUGAAAUCCCUCGGCCCAACCGAGGAACUGCGCCCGAUACUGCUUGUCUUGAGGACAGGAGAGGAGUGGGGAAUUUCUGGUGGAGCGGUGAAAUGCGUUGAUAUCAGAAGGAACACCGGCGGCGAAGGCG